ACAUGAUGAGGAGCAGAGGGAUAGACAUUUCAAAACAGUGCCAUUCUGACACUGAGCAACUUAUUUAGCCAGCAAGGCAUUGCCGAAACACUGAGGGGACCUCUGGCUAUUGCACUCCUUCCAGCGCCUCUGGGACAUGCUCACUGCAGACCAGCUGGCACCUGGCAGCCAGCCAGCCCAGCACCUGAAGAUGUAGGGUUUCCAUGCCCCAGGUGAAGAGCACUACUGCAGCUAAUAGAGGAUAACAAGGAAAAACUGUGAAAAAUCCUGCCUGUGGGACUGUAGAAGAUAAAAGUCUUUUGUAAGUGUACCUGUGUCACUCUCACAAACAAAUGGGGGACUAGGAGCAUGGAGCUGAGGUCAGCCUUAUGCUGCAAUUAGGAGAGACUGAGGGAAAAGCACAGGCGACUAUUUAAAUAUAGGAUGAACUUUUCCCAGUUUACAUUGCUUUCACUUGGAAUCACUGCUUCCAUCCAAUCUAACCAGCAGCCUCACCUGUAGCCACUUCUAUGCCUGAGAAGACAGAAAUAACUUCCUCAUUAAUGUAAUGAUGGAAGUGAGCUGCAAAGUUAAGGAAGAAAUGCUCUGAUGGCCUCAAGGAUCAUACAAGAUAGCAGAUGAGCUCUCUCCAGCCUCUCCCUGUCUUUCUCAAACUGUGGUACCCAGAACUGGAGCCCAGUACUCCAGAUGUGAGCUCACCUAGGUAAGAGAUACACUGUCCAGUAGUAUUAUGGAAAUAUUUUGAGAAUAACACAUUCCUCAACUCAUGGCAAGCCACAUGUGCUGGCAACAACGUGCAACUUGAAGCUGCCUUUCUAAGCAAAGUGCUACUUGGCAAACUCUGCCACAGUCCAAACCAGGUACCAACACUGUUCCAGCUUUUCUGUCUGGUUGAUGUGUCACAAGUAAGCUUGGAAAUCUUAUCUGAGUAUCUGGAUCAAAGAUUUGCCAGAGAAAUAAGUUUUCCCAAUGUAUUGGUUUCCCAGGAUAAAGCUGUCUAUCUGUGCAUCUGUCACCAUUAAGACUAGCAUUAGCAAGACUGUACACAUAGAAGUAUUUGUCUUUGUUCAGUAUUGACAUCAUUUAUAUCCUUUUUCUCUGAUGAAAGGAUGCAUUUCUCAUGCAGGAUAUUUUCAUCUGAAAAUACUUAAAUUUGGGUGUCUCUUGUACUGUAUGCUCAUCAAAAUUCAAGUUUGUGAUGCUUCAAGCCAUGAUGAAAUAUUUUUGUGUUUUUCUCCUUCUCCAUUGGUGCUUCUGGUUGUAAAUCCCUGACCUUUCUAUUUCUUGCUUUUUAUUUGGGCAUAUUUUAGAUUGAGUUGCUGUUCUGAGUAGUGUAUUUGAUUUCUACACAUCUUGAGAAACCGUUGGGAUAUUAUAUCUAGAAUCUCUUCAGAGACCGGAGACAGAAGUCUGGUAGUCAUAAUUAGAAAGUUUCAGAAAGUCUACAUGCAAAAUAUAUUAAUUAAAAGCAUUUGAUGAACAUCUAUGAACAACAAAUGCUUUAAAAAAAAAAUCAUAUCUACUUAGAUUCGGGAUUAAGUUCCCAGCUGGCUUCACAGUAGCUUCCGUGUCUUCUGCUGGAUAUGGAUCUGGCUCAUUUUUUGUAAUGAGAACUUCAAGUAGCUCUAGCUAAAAUGAAUGACAAAGCUGAUGCUUCUUGGUGAAGUAAUUAAUUAAUUAGUGUGUAUGCAUGCAUGUUACCACAAAUAUAAUUUCUGAAAAUAUGAAGAACUUUGUCCUUGUAUAAAGCCCUCUAGAGUCAUUGCAAAAAAUUUGCAUGGACUUCAUUGGGUUAUGGAUCACAUCCUGUAAAUAUCUGCAUUUUUAGACCUUUUCUAGUGCUUUCUCUUCCAAUGGAAAUUAAUAGCUUCUUGGAAUUGAAAUGACCAGUUUCCGAUUUAGUUUUGCAUAAGAAGCAGAGUCCAGUAGGAUUAAAUAUGAAUGGUGGCUUGCUAAUUCAUUAAUCAUGAAAAUAUGAUGUGCAGUUAGUUACAUAAGUGGUUAUUUUUGCAUGGAAAUGUCUGCUACUUCUAUGUCUGUGCAGAAUCACUUCAAGUGCAGAAGCAGGAACAUACAAACCCAUUCAUUUCAAUAUACUAUUUUAGACAGAAUGCACAAUGAUACAUAAAUACUCUGUAGACAAUAGUGAUUUUGUAGCUGUUAGCACAAUUAUAGGUCAAUGCAUCCAAGUAUCCUACCUGCACAUGAUUAUACACGUUCCUGGUCAGAUGAAGCAGAGUAUUCUCAAAGUAUAUAUGAGACCUUUCCAAACCAUCUUGGCCACAUGUGACCUAUGCAAAAUAUUUUAUUCUGAGAACUUUUGAAAAUGUAAAUAUUACAGCUCCUUUUCUCUUAAAAGUCUGAGAAAUCAGAUAAGAAAGGUUGGGUUGGCUCCAAACAAUACUGAAUUCUUCUCUAUCAUCCAGCAACAGACUUCUGCAUCAGUGACAGGUAACAAGGACAAGGUUUGAUGCGCCAUUUGAAAAUCAUCCACAGCAAGGAGCAAAUCAACAUAAGAUGCAAGUCAAAGGACUGUUGAAAUACUCACUUUCCACUUGAGCAUGCUGUUGGAAGCUGAAAUUCUGCACUGAACUUAGUAAUUCAAUAUGCUUGGCAAAUACAAGAGGUUGCCUCAUUGGCACAGAUCUCUUCUGUGUAAAAAUGAUGGAAAUGCCAAUUCCACCUUUGUCUCCUUCCAGUGUCCUUGCGCCACUAGCACCCUGUUGUCUUUCCCAGGUAAAAGGAUAGUCCCAGGCUCAAUUCACUGUACUUCCGCUGUCAUGGCCAGGGCCCUGCCAGGUACUUGCUCUUGUUAAAAGAA